rnacentral:SRP_RNA from 1 species
CCGCGCUAAGCGGGGAGCCAGCGGUGCCCUGAUCCCCGGGUUCGCCCGGGGUGACCUGCAAUCCGCUUCGCAGGGCCGAAUUCCCGAUCGAGGGGUUUUUUCGGUUCCGGCGGAACCGUUUAGAGAAGCGUUGAAGCCCGGGUCCCGCGCACGCGACGCCGGCCAACCCCGUCAGGUCCGGAAGGAAGCAGCGGUAAGUCGGCCUCUCGCGGGGCGUGGAAUAACCCGGGGUGAGCCGAUCGGCGGGGAAGCCGGGUCCGGAAGCCUCGACAGAGGGUGCGCGG